CUGGCCCUGAAUCAAAGCCGACAACUUCCUGACACUGUUGGUUUAAAGCAGGAGCCUAAAGAGAUGUCUUUCUAUAGUCUGUUGGCCAUUUCAGAAUUCGGCAGUGAAAUGAUCAAUUCCUUAGAAAGAAACAGCU
ensembl:snoRNA